rnacentral:piRNA from 1 species
UCCCAAUGGGAGUUCUCUCCUUUUUCAAGC